UACUCGAUAGGUCUUUCGUCCUUGCCUU
rnacentral:piRNA from 1 species